rnacentral:rRNA from 1 species
GACGAACGCUGGCGGCGUGCUUAACACAUGCAAGUCGAACGGAAAGGCCCUGCUUUUGUGGGGUGCUCGAGUGGCGAACGGGUGAGUAACACGUGAGUAACCUGCCCUUGACUUUGGGAUAACUUCAGGAAACUGGGGCUAAUACCGGAUAGGAGAUCCUGCUGCAUGGUGGGGGUUGGAAAGUUUCGGCGGUUGGGGAUGGACUCGCGGGUUAUCAGCUUGUUGGUGGGGUAGUGGCUUACCAGGGCUUUGACGGGUAGCCGGCCUGGGAGGGGUAACGGCCACAUGGGGACUGCGGUACGGCCCAGACUCCAACGGGAGGCAGCAGGGGGGAAUAUUGCACAACGGGGGGAAGCCUGAGGCGGAAACGCCGCGUGCGGAAUGACGGCUUUCGGGUGAAAAACCGCUUUCGCCGGAGACGAGGAGUGAGUGACGGUAAUGGGUAAAAAAGCACCGGCUAACUACGUG